rnacentral:lncRNA from 1 species
GUGAGGGCAAACCAUCCCACUGGGCAGUCGAGGAACUAAGAAUGCUGCAGAUAGUCCGGAGAGUUUCAUCCUUUAGGUCCAAGUCUUGGCUGUUGGCUGUAUGAUAAAGGUCUAAAGCAAGACAGUACACACAAUGACUGAAACCUUGCUAUGGCUUGGAAAUUCUUGGAAUUUAACGUAAGAGUAAAUCAUAACUCUUGCCAUUACAGUGGGAAUUGAUGGAUGUUGAAAACACAAGAUAACUGUAACGAAUUCACAUUUCUUGGAGGUGUCACAUGUUUUGAAGCAGUGGGGCUCUGAAAAACAAAUGCUGUCAUUCUGCUGAACUUCAGAGUAUCUUACUGUAGUCACACGUUUUUC